CAAAAGCAAACCACCUAACCUGUGUGCUGCCCUUUGUCUCCGACUGUUUAUUUGCAAAAUGGGAAUUACAUUACUUAUUCAAAUGUAUGCAAAGAUCAGAGAUAAAACAAUGGAAAGUGUCUAGCAGGGUGUCCGAAACAUGGCUGUGAUGAACGACAAUUGGAGGCUCCCUGAAUCCUACGGCCUAACAACUGUCAUGUUCCCUUAAUUCCUGCAGUUCCCUGCUCUCCCAUCAAAGCACGGAUCUCAGUGUCUCCAGGGUUGCUCACUCCGCCCUCCUGCCCUCUGCCCUCUGCCCUCACAGUACCCAGGUCACAGAUCUUGCCCUUCUUCCCUCUCAACUCUACCCCACCUGUUAGUUCCAGAGGACUUGACUUUUGCUUCAAUUCCAACCCUAAAGAUUUCCCUGGCUAUUGACCCUGUCUAGAAUUCCAGCCCCCUACCCCCAGGUGGAGGAGGAUCCCUGGCCUGCCCUCCUCAGGACCGGACCCAGCAGCCUGAGUUCUGCCUCCUAUGGGCAGGCUUGGAUGACAGCUGCCCGCCUGCUCAGCCCCUGAGCUCACUGAUACUUGGACUUCCCGCUGCCCUACUCCAGCUGUUAGACCAGAAUUCGAAGGAAGCUGUGGCGCAGUGGAGUGAAACUGUUCCGCGUGGCCAGGCCCACAAAACCACACCCCACGGCCCCACCAUUCCAUCUCCCUGUGACUCUGAGUGCUGCAGUCUCAAGUUGGAGGGAAUCUUCCUUUGCUCCCGGCGUAUUCUUCAACAAAGAAACCGAGUUCUAUACCAAAACUUGACAAGCCUGAAAUCUAGAGUAUGAGUUGAAGUAAACAAAAACAAAAAACACAGCAGAUGAAGAACUAAGGCUCAGAGUGCUAAAGCUGUCUUUAAGUGACAGGGCCAGAAUUCAUAAGAAGGCUGAUAACCCCCAGCAGUUGAGAACCUACCAGAAUGUACCAGGCACAGUGCUGGUUACAUAAGAAAAGCUGAGUUAGACAGAGGCCCGUUCUCAGGGUAUUCAUUCUGGCAAGAGAUGAAGGUUAAACUAAGAACAAGGUGCUAGAAGAAAAGCAGAGGGAAGGAAGUGAACAUCUACUUCAAGGGCAAUACACACCGUAAGCUCUUAAACCAUGAACUUCACUAUUUAGAAUUGAACUCUUGUAGAAUCUUAUAUUAGACUUUGUUGCCUGUAAUUCUACUUCUCCAAUCUGAUUGUCUUCUUCCUAAGACUCAUGUUCACAUACUGUUCAUAAGACUCUAACAGGAGUUCCAGAAAUACUUAUGAAAUAAGUUGAUGGGCUGGUCUUCCAGUGUGGCAGCAAAUGUCCCCUGUCUAAAAUGACACAUAUUUGAAAUACAUACAAGGAUCCAGGAUUUAAAAAAAACAAAAACAUUAUAAAGUACAUUAUUUUUACUAUUUCUUUGCGUGUAAAUAUUCACUGCAGCUGUCUUUAAAGAUAUUUAAUCUUAACCAGUGGUUGUACUAAUACUGACUUCUUU